AGCCGGGCAUGGUGGCGCGUGCCUGUAAUCCCAGCUACUCAGGAGGCUGAGGCAGGAGAAUUGCCUGAACCCGGGAGGCGGAGUUUGCAGUAAUCUGAGACCACACUGUUGCACUCCUGCCUGGGAGACAGAGUGAAACUCCUUCUCAAU